rnacentral:tRNA from 1 species
UCCCUGGCAGUCCAGUGGUUAAGACACUAUGCUUCCACUGUAGGGGGCACAGGUUCAAUUCCUGGUUGGGGAA